UACGUAGGGUGCGAGCGUUGUCCGGAAUUAUUGGGCGUAAAGAGCUCGUAGGCGGUUUGUUGCGUCUAUCGUGAAAACCUGCAGCUUAACUGUGGGCUUGCGGUGGAUACGGGCAGACUUGAGUUCGGUAGGGGAGACUGGAAUUCCUGGUGUAGCGGUGGAAAUGCGCAGAUAUCAGGAGGAACACCGGUGGCGAAGGCGGGUCUCUGGGCCGAUACUGACGCUGAGGAGCGAAAGCGUGGGGAGCAAACAGG
rnacentral:rRNA from 1 species